AGCCCAUGAUGAGGGCAAAAUCUCAACAUAUCUUUGAAGCGCUCUCAAGCUUCAUAGAGCGGUUUCCUUCCUUUUGAGAAAAACUUGUGCUUUGAUUUCUCAAUU